rnacentral:rRNA from 1 species
UACAGAAGUGGCAAGCGUUGUUCGGAAUUACUGGGCGUAAAGGGUGCGUAGGCGGCGCGGUAAGUCGAACGUGAAAGUCCCCGGGCUCAACCCGGGAACUGCGUCCGAUACUGGAAGGCUUGAGUCCGGGAGAGGUGAGUGGAACUCCGAGUGUAGAGGUGAAAUUCGUAGAUAUUCGGAAGAAACACCAGUGGCGAAGGCGGCUCACUGGCCCGGUACUGACGCUGAGGUGCGAAAGCGUGGGGAGCAAACAGG